UACGGAGGAUCCGAGCGUUAUCCGGAUUUAUUGGGUUUAAAGGGUGCGUAGGCGGAAAUGUAAGUCAGUGGUGAAAUCCUGCAGCUUAACUGUAGAAUAGCCGUUGAAACUGUGUUUCUUGAGUACAUUUGAGGUAGGCGGAAUGUGGUGUGUAGCGGUGAAAUGCAUAGAUAUGCCACAGAACACCGAUUGCGAAGGCAGCUUACUAAACUGUCACUGACGCUGAUGCACGAAAGCGUGGGUAUCAAACAGGAUUA
rnacentral:rRNA from 1 species